rnacentral:rRNA from 1 species
GACGAACGCUGGCGGCGUGCUUAACACAUGCAAGUCGAGCGGUAAGGCCCUUUCGGGGGUACACGAGCGGCGAACGGGUGAGUAACACGUGGGUGACCUGCCCUCAGCUCUGGGAUAAGCCUGGGAAACCGGGUCUAAUACUGGAUAUGACUCCAUGACGCAUGUUGUGGGGUGGAAAGCCUUGUGCGGCUGAGGAUGGGCCCGCGGCCUAUCAGCUUGUUGGUGGGGUGGGGCCUACCAAGGCGACGACGGGUAGCCGGCCUGAGAGGGCGACCGGCCACACUGGGACUGAGACACGGCCCAGACUCCUACGGGAGGCAGCAGUGGGGAAUCUUGCGCAAUGGGCGAAAGCCUGACGCAGCGACGCCGCGUGAGGGAUGACGGCC